GACGAACGCUGGCGGCGUGCUUAACACAUGCAAGUCGAACGGAAAGGCCCUGCUUUUGUGGGGUGCUCGAGUGGCGAACGGGUGAGUAACACGUGAGUAACCUGCCCUUGACUUUGGGAUAACUUCAGGAAACUGGGGCUAAUACCGGAUAGGAGCUCCUGCUGCAUGGUGGGGGUUGGAAAGUUUCGGCGGUUGGGGAUGGACUCGCGGCUUAUCAGCUUGUUGGUGGGGUAGUGGCUUACCAAGGCUUUGACGGGUAGCCGGCCUGAGAGGGUGACCGGCCACAUUGGGACUGAGAUACGGCCCAGACUCCUACGGGAGGCAGCAGUGGGGAAUAUUGCACAAUGGGCGGAAGCCUGAUGCAGCAACGCCGCGUGCGGGAUGACGGCCUUCGGGUUGUAAACCGCUUUCGCCUGUGACGAAGCGUGAGUGACGGUAAUGGGUAAAGAAGCACCGGCUAACUACGUGCCAGCAGCCGCGGUGAUACGUAGGGUGCGAGCGUUGUCCGGAUUUAUUGGGCGUAAAGGGCUCGUAGGUGGUUGAUCGCGUCGGAAGUGUAAUCUUGGGGCUUAACCCUGAGCGUGCUUUCGAUACGGGUUGACUUGAGGAAGGUAGGGGAGAAUGGAAUUCCUGGUGGAGCGGUGGAAUGCGCAGAUAUCAGGAGGAACACCAGUGGCGAAGGCGGUUCUCUGGGCCUUUCCUGACGCUGAGGAGCGAAAGCGUGGGGAGCGAACAGGCUUAGAUACCCUGGUAGUCCACGCUGUAAACGGUGGGUACUAGGUGUGGGGUCCAUUCCACGGGUUCCGUGCCGUAGCUAACGCUUUAAGUACCCCGCCUGGGGAGUACGGCCGCAAGGCUAAAACUCAAAGGAAUUGACGGGGCCCCGCACAAGCGGCGGAGCAUGCGGAUUAAUUCGAUGCAACGCGUAGAACCUUACCUGGGUUUGACAUGGAUCGGGAGUGCUCAGAGAUGGGUGUGCCUCUUUUGGGGUCGGUUCACAGGUGGUGCAUGGCUGUCGUCAGCUCGUGUCGUGAGAUGUUGGGUUAAGUCCCGCAACGAGCGCAACCCUUGUUCACUGUUGCCAGCACGUUAUGGUGGGGACUCAGUGGAGACCGCCGGGGUCAACUCGGAGGAAGGUGGGGAUGACGUCAAGUCAUCAUGCCCCUUAUGUCCAGGGCUUCACGCAUGCUACAAUGGCUGGUACAGCGAGUGGCGAGCCUGUGAGGGUGAGCGAAUCUCGGAAAGCCGGUCUCAGUUCGGAUUGGGGUCUGCAACUCGACCUCAUGAAGUCGGAGUCGCUAGUAAUCGCAGAUCAGCAACGCUGCGGUGAAUAAAUUCCCGGGGCU
rnacentral:rRNA from 1 species